UCUUGCCUUAACCUAAUAUUCCUUCAUCUUAAAACACCAAACUCAGCCGCCACUUUUCCUCAACAUCCUGAAAUCAUCAUCCCUUCCGUUCGCUCGAUCCGCAUCGUAUCAGUGUUUCAUCGCCGCUACAUCAUACGAAUCCGUUCUUGUUGAUCUUUACGUAAUUCUUAUCAAUUGGCACUGUUUAGCUUGUCAAUUCACACCUUAUUCCAUCUCUGAAUCGUCAAGCUAGUUAUUCUCCAAACG